ACACACACACACACACACACACACACACACACACACACACACACACACACACACACACACACACACACACACACACACACACACACACACACACACACACACACACACACACACACACACUGUACAGUAUACAAUGCACAAGCCCCAUACACACAAAAUUAAGACCGUUAAAAACACUUGAUAAAAGCACAAUAUGGUAUUAUAAAAUAAAAUUAAUUGCACAUGUAGAGACGAGAUGGAGGAAGCACAGUGAGUGGAGCAGGAAGGGGGGAGGGACAGCGGUGAGCAUGGCAGAGAAAAGGAUACAGUACAUUCAGUAAACAAAAAACAGGAGAAAAAGAAAAAAAAAGGCAAGAUCAGAAUCAAAAAACACUGAAAAGAAUUAAAUAAAAAUCAAAAUACGUUUUUCCAGUUUGUCAUUUUUUUUUCCUUCAGUCAUUGAUUUGAAGCCAACUCUGGGGUGUGCCAGUCUUACAGUAGUCCCAGUCUUGUCUCCGGAGAGCGAGCUCGGUCAGUUGUGUAGAUUUUAAUUGUUUUCUUGCUUUAUUUAAAAUCAAUGUUCAACGUCUACAUCUCUACAGACCCAACGUCAGAGCAUCGGGCGGGGGAGUAGUGGUAGGGUGCAAGUCUUCCAUGACCUGACAUAUGCACAGGCAUUUACACAAGUGCACACACACACACACGUUCGCGCACACAUACAUACACACACACACACACACACACACACA